rnacentral:lncRNA from 1 species
CCUGAUAUCCCUUCCGUGCUUCCCCGUCCUAGUAGUUUAGGAUUUCUUUUCUAACGCUUUGAUUCUGACCAAUCUCUCUGGCCUGCUGCUUCCUGAUAAUCGACCAGUUCUCGAGUCUUGCUCCCUGCACUCCUCCCUCCAUCUCCAGCAUCGUUUUCUCACUCACCCGCUCCAAUGGCUGUUCUUUCUGCUGCUGACGCUCACCCGGUCUCAGCGAUCGGGUUUGAGGGCUAUGAGAAGCGCCUUGAGAUCACCUUCUCUGAGGCGCCUGUCUUUGUCGACCCUCAUGGGCGUGGUUUGCGUGCCCUUUCCAGGGCCCAGAUUGAUUCUGUUUUGGAUCUUGCACGGUGCACCAUCGUGUCCGAGCUCUCCAACAAGGAUUUUGACUCCUAUGUCCUCUCUGAGUCGAGCCUGUUUAUCUAUCCUCUGAAGAUUGUCAUCAAAACAUGUGGGACUACCAAGCUCCUGCUCACCAUUCCAAGGAUUAUUGAGCUUGCUGAAGAGCUGUCUAUGCCGCUUGCUGCUGUGAAGUACUCCCGUGGGAUGUUCAUCUUCCCCGGUGCACAGCCAGCCCCCCACAGGAGCUUCUCUGAGGAGGUUGCUGCCCUUAACCGCUACUUUGGUGGCCUGAAGUCUGGUGGUAAUGCUUAUGUGAUUGGAGAUCCUGCAAGACCUGGACAGAAGUGGCACAUCUACUAUGCCACCGAGUACCCAGAGCAACCCAUGGUUAAC